rnacentral:rRNA from 1 species
UACGUAGGGACCAAGCGUUGUUCGGAUUACUGGGCGUAAAGGGCGCGUAGGCGGCGUGGUAAGUCACUUAUGAAAUCUCUGAGCUUAACUCAGAACGGCCAAGUGAUACUGCUGUGCUAGAGUGCAGAAGGGGCAAUCGGAAUUCUUGGUGUAGCGGUGAAAUGCGCAGAUAUCAAGAGGAACACCUGAGGUGAAGACGGGUUGCUGGGCUGACACUGACGCUGAGGCGCGAAAGCCAGGGGAGCAAACGGG